rnacentral:rRNA from 1 species
ACGUAGGGUCCGAGCGUUGUCCGGAAUUAUUGGGCGUAAAGAGCUCGUAGGCGGCGUGUCGCGUCUGCUGUGAAAGACCGGGGCUUAACUCCGGUUCUGCAGUGGAUACGGGCAUGCUAGAGGUAGGUAGGGGAAACUGGAAUUCCUGGUGUAGCGGUGAAAUGCGCAGAUAUCAGGAGGAACACCGGUGGCGAAGGCGGGUUUCUGGGCCUUACCUGACGCUGAGGAGCGAAAGCAUGGGGAGCGAACAG